UACGUAGGGAGCAAGCGUUGUUCGGAUUUACUGGGCGUAAAGGGCGCGCAGGCGGCUGCUCAAGUCAGGCGUGAAAGGCCUGGGCUCAACCCGGGAAUUGCGCUUGAGACUGGGCUGGCUUGAGUGCGGGAGAGGAUGGUGGAAUUCCCAGUGUAGAGGUGAAAUUCGUAGAUAUUGGGAAGAACACCGGUGGCGAAGGCGGCCAUCUGGACCGCAACUGACGCUGAGGCGCGAAAGCGUGGGGAGCAAACAGG
rnacentral:rRNA from 1 species